UGCGUGGCGGCGGUCUACACAUGCAGUCGAGCGGUAGCACAGAGAGCUUGCUCUCGGGUGACGAGCGGCGGACGGGUGAGUAAUGUCUGGGAAACUGCCUGAUGGAGGGGGAUAACUACUGGAAACGGUAGCUAAUACCGCAUAACGUCGCAAGACCAAAGUGGGGGACCUUCGGGCCUCAUGCCAUCAGAUGUGCCCAGAUGGGAUUAGCUAGUAGGUGGGGUAACGGCUCACCUAGGCGACGAUCCCUAGCUGGUCUGAGAGGAUGACCAGCCACACUGGAACUGAGACACGGUCCAGACUCCUACGGGAGGCAGCAGUGGGGAAUAUUGCACAAUGGGCGCAAGCCUGAUGCAGCCAUGCCGCGUGUAUGAAGAAGGCCUUCGGGUUGUAAAGCACUUUCAGCGGGGAGGAAGGCGAUAAGGUUAAUAACCUUGUCGAUUGACGUUACCCGCAGAAGAAGCACCGGCUAACUCCGUGCCAGCAGCCGCGGUAAUACGGAGGGUGCAAGCGUUAAUCGGAAUUACUGGGCGUAAAGCGCACGCAGGCGGUCUGUCAAGUCGGAUGUGAAAUCCCCGGGCUCAACCUGGGAACUGCAUUCGAAACUGGCAGGCUAGAGUCUUGUAGAGGGGGGUAGAAUUCCAGGUGUAGCGGUGAAAUGCGUAGAGAUCUGGAGGAAUACCGGUGGCGAAGGCGGCCCCCUGGACAAAGACUGACGCUCAGGUGCGAAAGCGUGGGGAGCAAACAGGAUUAGAUACCCUGGUAGUCCACGCCGUAAACGAUGUCGAUUUGGAGGUUGUGCCCUUGAGGCGUGCUUCCGGAGCUAACGCGUUAAAUCGACCCGCCUGGGAGUACGGCCGCAAGGUUAAAACUCAAAUGAAAUUGACGGGGGGCCCCGCCACAAGCGGUGAGCAUGUGUUUAAUUUCGAUGCAACGCGAAGAACCUACCUGGUCUUGAACAUCCACAGAACUUAGCAGAAGAUGCUUGGUUGCCUUUCAGGAACUUGGUGAAAACAGUGCUGCAAUGCCUUGUCGUCAGCUCAGUUGGAAAUGUAGGGUAAGUCGCACGAGCGCAUCAUUAUCCUGUGCACGGUCAGCUGCACUAAGAACUCGCAGUGAUUAC
rnacentral:rRNA from 1 species